rnacentral:rRNA from 1 species
UACGUAGGGUGCAAGCGUUGUCCGGAAUUAUUGGGCGUAAAGGGCUCGUAGGCGGUCUGUCACGUCGGGUGUGAAAACUCAGGGCUUAACCCUGAGCCUGCUUCCGAUACGGGCAGACUAGAGGUAUGCAGGGGAGAACGGAAUUCCUGGUGUAGCGGUGAAAUGCGCAGAUAUCAGGAGGAACACCGGUGGCGAAGGCGGUUCUCUGGGCAUUACCUGACGCUGAGGAGCGAAAGUGUGGGGAGCGAACAGG